CUCAGGAUGAACGCUAGCGGCAGGCUUAACACAUGCAAGUCGAGGGGUAACAUUGUGCUUGCACAGAUGACGACCGGCGCACGGGUGCGUAACGCGUAUAGAACCUACCUUUUACUGGAGAAUAGCCUUUAGAAAUGAAGAUUAAUGCUCCAUGGUAUUGAGUUUUGGCAUCAAGACUUAAUUAAAGAUUUAUUGGUAAAAGAUGGCUAUGCGUCCUAUUAGUUAGAUGGUAAGGUAACGGCUUACCAUGACUUUGAUAGGUAGGGGUCCUGAGAGGGAGAUCCCCCACACUGGUACUGAGACACGGACCAGACUCCUACGGGAGGCAGCAGUGAGGAAUAUUGGGCAAUGGAGGCAACUCUGACCCAGCCAUGCCGCGUGAAGGAUGACUGCCCUAUGGGUUGUAAACUUCUUUUAUACAGGAAGAAACACUGGUAUGUAUACCAGCUUGACGGUACUGUAAGAAUAAGGACCGGCUAACUCCGUGCCAGCAGCCGCGGUAAUACGGAGGGUCCGAGCGUUAUCCGGAAUCAUUGGGUUUAAAGGGUCCGCAGGCGGUCGAUUAAGUCAGAGGUGAAAUCCCAUAGCUCAACUAUGGAACUGCCUUUGAUACUGGUUGACUUGAGUCAUAUGGAAGUAGAUAGAAUGUGUAGUGUAGCGGUGAAAUGCAUAGAUAUUACACAGAAUACCGAUUGCGAAGGCAGUCUACUACGUAUGUACUGACGCUGAGGGACGAAAGCGUGGGGAGCGAACAGGAUUAGAUACCCUGGUAGUCCACGCCGUAAACGAUGGAUACUAGUUGUUGGGCAUUAGCUCAGUGACUAAGCGAAAGU
rnacentral:rRNA from 1 species